UACGUAGGGUGCAAGCGUUGUCCGGAAUUAUUGGGCGUAAAGAGCUCGUAGGCGGUCUGUCGCGUCUGCUGUGAAAACUCAGGGCUUAACCCUGAGCUUGCAGUGGGUACGGGCAGACUAGAGUGCGGUAGGGGAGACUGGAAUUCCUGGUGUAGCGGUGAAAUGCGCAGAUAUCAGGAGGAACACCGAUUGCGAAGGCAGCUCGCUGGGACGUAACUGACGCUGAGACGCGAAAGCGUGGGGAGCAAACAGG
rnacentral:rRNA from 1 species